GAUGGAGAGAGACGGCGGCGCUCGCGGGGGAGGGUGGGCGGCCGGAGGAAGAAAACCACCUGGGAUGGGCCUCAAAGCGGGCCGGCAGAAACUGGCAUGACAAGCGUUGGCCCACGCAGCCAGGCCGCAGCCCGCAGGCCCGUGGCUCUCCGGAGGCAGGCAGAUCAACGGUGCUGGCUGGGUCAGCGCAGGAUCGGACGGCUCGGGAGAUCUCAGGGAUGAGAGUGUGACGGCGGAAAAGAGUGAGGGCUAGACUGCAAGUUGCUCUCUAAAUGAGCCGCGACCUCGCCCAGCUCUUCUUCCUCCUCCUCCUCCUCUAGCUAGGGCUAAGCUGAUCUUCUCCCCCUUCGCCGGCCGCUCCACCCCCACCGAUCCAGCCCCUGCCAGAUUCCAGUCGCUGACAAGACAAAGCCCGUCAUUGGUUACACUUCCAAGUGCAUCGCCUUGACCAUCGUUUGUAUACUCUUGUUUUCUUCUCUGUGCUUGUUCGGGAUCGUGUUCUUGAGAACCUCCCUGUAUCAUCUCGAGCAUACGCAAUUUCUUCGUUUGUCCCUUAAGCAGUUCCAUGCCAUCCAGUUUGGCACCUAUGGCUACAUCCAGUUUGAUAUCAUUGCAUACCAAUUGUUCUAGUUGUUUCUGUUGUUUUUCGUCCUAUCCACAUGUCCUCAAUUUGCUCUCCCCAUAUUUUUGCCUCCUCUGCUCUUUCCAAAGUUGCCUUGGAACUUUGAGCUCUUCAAGAUGCCUAGACGGACAGAAGAAGCUGAACCAAAAGAAUGCUUGGAGUUUGAUGAUAAUGAAGAGGAAGAGGUAGAAGAGGAAGAAAUUGAGUAUGAAGAAAUUGAGGAGGAGGUAGAGGAGGAGGUGGAGGUGGAGGAGGAGGAUAUUUCAGAGGAAGUGGAGGAGGUAGAGGAGGAGGAGGAAGACCCUGAAGAAAGAGAAGUUCUUGAUGAAAUUGAUGCUAGUCAUGACAGUGACAGUAAAUCGGAAGUUGUUCCUCUUCCUCAGCAGGAUGGUGCCAGAGAUGGGAGCGAUAAAGAGAAGCAUGCCGAACUUCUUGCUCUUCCUCCUCAUGGAUCUGAAGUAUAUUUUGGGGGCAUCUCCAGCGAUGCAUCUUCUGACGAUCUCAAGAAACUAUGUGAGCCAGUUGGCGAAGUUGUGGAAGUUAGAAUAAUGCUGAGCAAGAAGGAUAGUAGGGGAUAUGCUUUUGUUACUUUCAGAACUAAUGACCUGGCUUUGAAGGCCAUCGAGAAAUUGAACAAGGCAACUUUCAAGGGAAAGAAGCUAAGAGUUUCUUCGUCCCAGGCUAAGAACAAGCUAUUUGUUGGAAAUAUACCUCACAGUUGGUCAUUUGAUGAUUUUAAAAAAGCAGUGGAAGAAGUUGGUCCUGGAGUAUUAAAAGUUGAUCUGAUUAAGGAUCCACGUACAGAUCGCAAUCGGGGUUAUGGUUUCGUUGAAUACUAUAAUAAUGCAUGCGCUGAGUAUUCAAGGCAGAAGAUGACUGCACCAAAUUUCAAAUUAGAUACAAAUGCUCCUACUGUCAGCUGGGCAGAUCCUAAGAAUGGGGAUUCUGCCUCUACAGGCUCUACGUCACAGGUCAAAUCUGUAUAUGUCAAAAACCUGCCCAAGAAUGUUACUCAAGGGCAGCUGAAAAAGCUGUUUGAGCGCCAUGGUGAAAUCAUAAAAAUUGUUCUCCCCCCUUCAAAAGAUGGUCAUGAUAAUAGGUAUGGUUUUGUUCACUUUAAAGACCGCCACAUGGCCAUGAAGGCUGUGAAGAGCACAGAGAAAUAUGAGCUUGACGGUCAGCUCCUGGACUGCUCACUCGCAAAACCUCCUGCUGAUAAAAAAGACGAUACAGUAUCAUUGCCUACUGCCAAAGGAGGUCCGUUGCUCCAUGCUCCGCUUGGAUAUGGUAUGCCACGGCCAGAUCCUUAUGGUGCGCCUCCUGCUUAUGGUGCCCCUCCUGCUUAUGGUGCACCUCCUGCUUAUGGUGGACAGCCUCUGCUCUAUGCUCCAGGAGCUCCUCCAGGUGCAGCAAUGGUUCCAAUGCUUCUACCGGAUGGCCGUCUUGUAUAUGUUGUGCAACAGCCUGGAGCGCAGCAACAUUUCGCUUCCCCUCCGCCCCAGGUGCGGCAACAUCAGCAUUUCACAUCUCCUCCGCCACAGGCACGACAAAUUGGUCGCCAUGGUGGCAGCGGUGGCGGUGGAGGCAGUGGUGGAUCAAGUAGGUCCGGGUCCGGUACAAAGCGCCCAAGGGGAGAUGACAACAACAGCAGCAGUCGCAACCGACAACGCCGGUAUUGAUCGCAGGAGGUGUAUGGUGGUGCUUCGGUUCUAGCGCCAGCUAAUUGUGUAAUAAGUACUUGUCGCCCCGGUCGGAUUUUCCUACAAACCUGCUUAACCCGGUGAACUGUGAAACCCGCAUCACUAUUCGUUCGGAACUGUGUUAGGUCACCUCGAGGUAGUUUUGGUUUGUCUAGGCGUAAUUUCGUGUACUGUGAUCAAGUUUAGAAAUGGCAAGAACAGCAUCGGUGUCUGAUAUCUAGUAUCCAUAGGCUGCAGUGCCAAGAAGAACCCAGAGCUGAUCUCAGAAUAACAGCAAACGGCACAUCCAGCUGAGGUUCAGUCCAUUUACAUGUCGCCCAGCUUAGAUUUUUCUUUUUGAGCCCAUGCAGGUAUGCAGGAGAACUGCAUGUAAUAUAUGAAAUAGUCUUCAGGAUGCAGGAAAACACAAACUACCUAAAGAAACAAAAACUUCAGGCACAAAGCGACCUUGGUCAGA
rnacentral:rRNA from 1 species